rnacentral:rRNA from 1 species
UACGUAGGGUGCGAGCGUUGUCCGGAAUUACUGGGCGUAAAGAGCUCGUAGGUGGUUUGUCGCGUUGUCCGUGAAAACUCACAGCUCAACUGUGGGCGUGCGGGCGAUACGGGCAGACUGGAGUACUGCAGGGGAGACUGGAAUUCCUGGUGUAGCGGUGGAAUGCGCAGAUAUCAGGAGGAACACCAAUGGCGAAGGCAGCACUCUGGGACGUGACUGACGCUGAGACGCGAAAGCGUGGGGAGCAAACAGG